AGGAGUAUAACUCAGUGGUAGAGUGCGUGCUUCGCAUGCAGGAGGUCCUGGGUUCAAUCUUCAGUACUUCCA
rnacentral:tRNA from 1 species